rnacentral:lncRNA from 1 species
CCACUGCACUCCAGCCUGGGUGACAGAGGGAGACCCUGUCUCAAAAAAAAAAAAAAAAAAUAGAUGGGGUAGAUGCUUUUGGAAGAAUAUGCAGUCACUGCUCACACCAGCAUGGAACAAGUGGACUGGGGUUACUGCCUGGCGAGUCUCUUUCAGGUCCCUGAAUGCAGUUAACUCAGCGAGUCCUGAGUUCCCCAGGAGGUGGGCAUUCCCAUCUUACCCACGUUGCAGAUGAAGACACUGAGGUGCAUAGAUGACUUACUUUCAGAAAAUGUCAACAGGGUGCUCUGCAGAGGGGCAUGGGCUUUUAUGCCUUUAUUAUGCUUUUCUGUAUUAAAAGAAAAAUACAGUCAUGUGAUUUUAGAAACUCAACCCAUGGAAGAGAGAAUACUGGGUCUGUAGGAAAUCUGCAAAGUGGGAAAGAUACUUCUGGGCUUGGUGGUGGCACCUUGGAGCCUGCUUACGGAAAUCACCUCUCGUUCCCGUGAUGCUGAAAGCAGAAUGCUGGACAUGGAAGAACCGCGGUACUCGAGCUUCGUCUGCUGCCCCACACCCCACUGGCUGUUGCAAGAGUGACGUUGCCAUUGGUGACUGCAGGUCUCCCAGCAGCCUGGUGCAGAGAGGCCACUUCAGGCUCGAACAGAGGCCCGGGUUUCCACGGGAGACAGCAGAGCCACGGUGUAGCAGGCAUCCAGCUCUCCCCCGAUCAGUUCCGUGACUUGUCGGAAGGCCCUCCCUCCCGGUCAGACGAAGAAAGGACUGGUGGCCUCUGGGGAUCCUGAGCCUGUCUCCAUGGGAACCAGCUCACCCACCCCCUCUCUGGCAAGUGUCCUAGUGGGAGCCAUGGGAAACCAUGGGCUCCAGCCCCUGGCCGCUGACUGGUUGGCGGCCUUCCGUUUUGAGAUCCCUGGCCCAGGGUAAUGGAGGGGACCUCAUCUUACAGAAGACACAGCGAGGGUGUGGAGAGGCUGUGGGGGAAGCACAGCCUGGCCGGCAGCUGCUGGGUGUCCUGGCUUGAGCUCAGGGCACCUUUGUCCCAGGGUGGGACCCUCAGGUCUCAGGGGCUGCUCCAUCCCCGUUGAGGGCUCCCUUCAUUCUUGAUGUCUGUCCACUCACAGAGGGGGCGUCAUGCCUCUCCAAAGACCCCCACAUUCCAGUCCUUGUGUCCCUGAGGUCGGCCUCCUGGCGGCCACCUCACAGGGAAGGCCCUGGACACAGGGCCCUGGCCUAAUGCAGCAUGGCUUCAUCUUAACUAGUUACGUGUGCAAAGACCCUGUCUCCAAACAAGGUCAUAUUUUGGGCUUCUGAGUGGAAGUUGGUUUGGGGGACACUCAUCAACCCAGCACAAUGCUCCCCCUCACCAUGUUCGUUGAAGAGAAGACUCUUGGACACCUGGAGGCCACCAGUCCUUUCUGGAUCCCCAGAGGCCACCAGUACUUUCUUCCUCUGACCUGAAACAAGAGCUAGCAGGGGCUGGCAGGCCGACUGCGUCUGCUGCCAUUUUGAGUACUGGCCCCAGCCGCAAUGCCCAGGACUGAGUCAUGGAGAUUCCCUCAGAAAUGGUGCAACCCAGUCUGUCCACAGAGUGAGGGGCGACAAGCCUGGUGGCCCCGGCUUCAGUGCAGGCCAUCCUUUCCACCUAUUGUCUCCUUUUGGUCUCAUGGGGACCCGGUUCUUGUCCUCUGCCCUGUAGCAUGGCUACGACCCUCAUGGGCCACAAACUUGAUGCCCUCAGGCGGCUAGACUCUACCCCAGAUCCGGGGCUGGCAGCGGCAUGGAUGUGGUCAACUGGCAUGCAGUUGUUACCCAGACACCCUCCCAUCAGCACUUUUUUAGGGGGUGAGUGACAGAAACUCAACUUGGGCUUAAAGGUGAAUUUACUGGUUCCUGUGAUGACAGAGUUCAAGGUUCAGCUGGACCUGGUGCCUCCAAUGACGUCACCAAGUCUGUCUGUCCAUCUGUCUGAGUUCAGCUUCCUCCAGGUCUUCGUUCUCCAGCAGGCCUUCUCCUCAAAGUGGCCAGGUGACUGUCAGCUCUAUGGUUCAUUCUACCAGUUUAUGAAUCUCCCCUCCUCAUGUUGCUCAAAUUCAGCUGUGAGUAAACUCCCAAGCUGAUUGCAGCGUCCAAAGGGAGGGCACUGGUCCCAUGUGCAGCCGGCAACUCUAUGGGUUCAGCUCCACCCAAACUAUAUAGACCACAGCAGGGAAGGAAAGCCAGGGAUGCUAGGAUGGCCAGCACCACUGCAGAAGCCUAUUGAUCCCGUGCAAAAUAGCUCCAGUAAAAGGAGGGCUUUGGGGCCCGGUGUGUUGGCACACACCUGUAAUCCCAGCACUUUGGGAGGCCAAGGCAUGUGGAUCACUUGAGGUCAAAAG